rnacentral:rRNA from 1 species
AGAGUUUGAUCCUGGCUCAGAUUGAACGCUGGCGACGUGCUUAACACAUGCAAGUCGUGCGAGAAAGUAGACUUCGGUCUAUGAGUAGAGCGGCGCACGGGUGAGUAACGCGUGGAUGAUCUACCCUUGAGUUCGGGAUAACGGUGCGAAAGCGCCGCUAAUACCGUAUAACAAUCCAUUUCAUCGUGGGUUCAAAGCAGGCCUCUUCGUGAAAGCUUGCGCUUGGGGAUGAGUCCGCGUCCCAUUAGCUUGUUGGCGGGGUAACGGCCCACCAAGGCUACGAUGGGUAGCUGGUCUGAGAGGAUGAUCAGCCACACUGGAACUGAAACACGGUCCAGACUCCUACGGGAGGCAGCAGUGGGGAAUAUUGCGCAAUGGGGGAAACCCUGACGCAGCGACGUCGUGUGAGGGAAGAAGGCCUUCGGGUCGUAAACCUCUGUCAGAAGGGAAGAACAUCCGGGAGUCGAACA